UUACAUCACACACGGCUGUUCCUGUUUUGUAUUCAGGUUUCUUAGGUAGAGGACUAUUUUCAUUUGAAAAACAAUAGCCCUUUCCAUCAAUGACCCAUCAAGGAUGGAGAAGGACAGAGACCACAUGGCUGCGAGGAUAUUAGACCUCACCCUGGAGAUCAUCUCCUUGAUAACUGGAGAGGAUUACACAGUAGUGAAGAAGUCGUCUGGUGAGUGUGUGACACCCCGUGUGUCAGG